rnacentral:rRNA from 1 species
AGAUCUCCUGAAGGAACGUUGAAGACGACGACGUUGAUAGGCCGGGUGUGUAAGCGCAGCGAUGCGUUGAGCUAACCGGUACUAAUGAACCGUGAGGCUUAACCUU